rnacentral:rRNA from 1 species
GUACACGCUGUGACUAGCAUAUCAAUAAGCGGAGGAAAAGAAACUAACAAGGAUUCCCUUAGUAACGGCGAGUGAAGCGGGAAGAGCUCAAAUUUGAAAUCUUGAAAGGUCACCUUUCACGAAUUGUAGUUUAAAGAAGUGUUUUCUGUUACGAUCGUAAUAUAAGUUCUUUGGAAUAGGACAUCACAGAGGGUGAGAAUCCCGUCUAUGAUUGCGAUUUGUAGCUUUGUGAUACACUUUCAAAGAGUCGGGUUGUUUGGGAAUGCAGCCCAAAACGGGAGGUAAAUUUCUUCUAAGGCUAAAUAUUGGCGUGAGACCGAUAGCGAACAAGUACCGUGAGGGAAAGAUGAAAAGAACUUUGAAAAGAGAGUUAAAUAGUACGUGAAAUUGUCAAAAGGGAAGCGUUUAACACCAGUGUUGUUUUCUGAAAAUCAACCUCUGUUAGCUUUAUGCAUGUUUGUUUAGACCUAAUCAGCUAUCUUGCAUGUUCUAUUGUUUGCAGUGGUGCACUUUUCAGUUUACAGGUCAACAUCAGUUUUUUUUACCGUAAAAAAGUUAAAGAAAGGUAGCUCAUGGCUCCGGUCGUGAGUGUUAUAGUCUUUUUCCUAUGCGGUAGGAGAGACUGAGGUCUGCAGUGUAGGCUAUUUGGCUAGAUACUCAGGUGCUAUGUGAUACCAUUUCAUAAACAACUUGUUGAUUAUGUUUUGUCUAUUGCAUACUCGCUUGUACUAUCAUACCUACGCUUAGGAUGUUGAACUACUGAGACAUAGA